GGACGCCAUCGUCAGUUUUGGGAGUCGCCGCGUCGGGAUUUUCGCUGUCCGUUGCGAUCCCGAUGGCGGAAUUCCGUGCGGUCUCCGUUUGAUCCGCCGCGUUUUCCUGCUUAAUGCAGCUUCUAGGACCGAUCACUUCGAAGCUUGGAUCGAAGAUUCGAGGCGCGUCGCGUUGCGGUUCUGUUCAUCUCGGUCGCUGCUUUGUUUUCGCCUCCGUAUCUUUUGAAUCGUCUACUGUUCCGCUGAGGGAACCACCUAGCGGCGGCGGCGGCGGCGGCGGCGGCGCUCUCGUCAUCCUCUCCGGACGCGUCGUCAACCUCCGAGCAGUGCGUUCUGGCGGCGUCCCCGUCGGAGCUCGGAUGGCGGCGCGAGGUGCGUUCCACGCUCCGAUCGCUGUUCCUUCGCGGUUCGUCGCUUCGUUUUCCUCAGCGUGUCUAUGAACGGCAGCUUCUCGUAGUCUCGUUCGUUCAGCGAUCGUCUGUUUUCGGAGUCGGCGCGUCGGAAUUUCCGCUCUCCGUAUUCCGUACGGUUUCCGUUUGAUCCGCCGCGUUUUUCUGCUUAAUGCAGCUUCUAGGACGGAUCACUUCGAAGCUUGGAUCGAAGAUUCGAGGCGCGUCGCGUUGCGGUUCUGUUCUCUCGGCCGCUGCUUUGUUUUCGCCUCCGUGUCUUUCGAAUCGUCUGCUGUUCUGCGGCAAUCUGCUAAUCUGUGAAUGUAUGCUGCUUUCGCCUGAUCUCGUCUAGAAUCUUCAUAGCGACUGAUCAGUUCAGGGGGAUUGUCUUCUAGGAACAAUAAAACGAUGUUGACUGCUUGCUGGAAGCUUACGGAGAGUUCUACUUUACCUGCAUUUGUUCAGGAAGAUCUGCGUCCGGUUGUUUGCGAUUUUCCAAAUCAGAACGAAAUUCUAGCUGUUCAGUCUAGAGCGCUGCUUCACGCCGGAGUCGUUACGCAUUUUGGUUCCUCUUCCUCUUCUGCUUCUUCCAUUGCAAUAUCCUUGUGAGAGUUUUAUUGAUUUUAAUGGUUUCCACUUUCGUUGAUCUUUUAUUUUGGUCUGCAACUAUACCGAUUCACAUGCUUCGAGUUUUCUUCUAUUAUGUGGAAGGACAACUAAUGAAUUAGCAGAACACUUAAGUUCGCUCUCUGUCCGCGUAUCUUUCUUCUCAAGUUAUUACCGUUUGACCCGUUUGACUAGCAGGUUUCAGAAUCCUUCUAAAUCUGAUCAUAUGUAACUACUGCUUGGACUUCGUAGUUCGGAAGUUGUCCAUUUUUCGUCCUAAUAUGGAAUUUGUAGUCUGGUUCAGAGUAACAAUCAGAACAGAGUGUGGAAACCCCUGCUUGCACUUCCACUCCAGCCCAACUGCCACUGGCCGCAAAUUCUUGUUCUUAUUUCCGUCUGUCUGGGAAUUGCUCUGAACAAAACCAAUUGGAAUUUCCAAUCAAUAUGUAGUCAAAGAUGGACCUUCUUCUGCUGCGGAUGCUGGAAGCUUUUUGAAGGAUGUAUAUUCAAGAGCCUCUUGAUCAAACUUCCAGGGUUUCAGUCUUGAAAAUUAAUUGGAGGGGCCCAAGGGCAAUUGAUUGGGCAGCAUACUCUCGUUUAUGCAUUAACAUUGAGCAUGGCUGUACGACAUUUUAGUAACCUUGAAUCUUAUAGUUGUGUUCUUCUUAUAUAUAGUUAGCUGCCUAUAAUUGUUGGCUCUCAUUUAGGCCAAUUUCCACAAUUGACUUUGAAUUCAGGAUUUUACAGUGCAACGUAUCUAUUUUUGCAACAUUAUCCUUCUUUGGCUCUUGCCAUCAAACUUUGACUGAGGCUCCAUCAGAUGCCUUGCACAAUGGGAUAAAAAAUAAGAUGUGCAGCCAGCCAUCGUGACUCACUUAGCUGUUGUGAACUGAUAUUUCAGUAGCUCCUGCUUGCGACAUGCUAUUUGAGGUAUGCAUGUUCGAGGACAAGAUAAGAAAUUUUAACAUCAGCCUUUCAUAAAUAGAGAUGGCAUUAACCGUGAGGACAACCUGAUGAAAUCAGACGAUUCAAUGAUUUCAAUCAGAUGGGCAGAAUUUGCUUGCAGCUGGUGUGCCACGACGAUCUUCUCUCCAUCCUUUCAGAUUGGCAUGAUAUAUUUAGUUCCCGAAUACCUGCUCUAUUUGUGUACUGGGUUUCGUUGCUCUCUACUCUUGAAGCAGACUACAUGAGGUUGGAUCAACGAACUGUAUCUUGUUGCCAGGGGCUGGCCGCUUUCAGCCUGGAGCAGGUGAGGUGAAGUAAAGGACGCGAAUGACUGAUUUACGGCGAACCCUCAACGAGAUCUCCGAAACGUAGCGAUAUGUCUCCCGCAGUAAUUGCUGGAGAUUUUUGCUAGGAGGCUUGGAGAUUCGCUUCUGAGAAGUGUUCUUGGAGGAGGAUGCAAUUAGUCAAAAAGGAGCUGCUCCCCUUAUACUUUCCUCGACAGUCUGAGGCAGGCCUUUUCUCGUACGUAGGUAGACUUCCAAGACGGGUUUGCGAGAAUGUCCGAGUAAAUGAGAUCAAGAAGAGAAAGAGGAGGAGAUACAGCCCAAUUCGGUGGAAGUAAAGAGGUCCUGUGGGCUUUGGCAGCCCAGUCGGCAACAGAGUUCGCUUCUCUUCGGCAAUGUUGAACCUAUAGAUUAGAGAAACAUGGCAAAGCGCCGUGCAUUCAGUGAACAGAACUCUGUUCUCCCAAGGUGUUGAGAUAGGGUUAUAAAAGCCUUCCACAAGAACCGAGUAGUUAGAUUCAAGCACCAUGUGAUCAGUGGAUUUCCCUUUGAACGAGCGGUUUCAGUGCUCCUAUUCGCUGGGAUUAGAGCAAUGCUCGGGACAAUUGCUCUCACACUCGUAAGAGGCACUCUCCAUUUCCAAAGACCAUUGAUCAAUGGCGGUGAUCACUUUAUUGGAUGGUCUUGAUACCGGUUAUAAAGCUUUUGAAGUCUGAAAAUGUUUUUGAAGAAAUUAGAAAUCAGAGUCGAUGAUGAUUGCAUGAGUAGAUUUACUCUCUUAUUGAGGCGUGUGAUGAAAGAGCUAGCGUCCCAAAUCUAAUUAGCGUGAUCCUACAUAGGAGGCCGAGGGUCGGGGACUCACAUGUGCGGCAAGGAUGGCACGACCCACUUACGUCGAUGGCAUGGUUAGCAACGGCCAGAGUGACAUGACGGUUGUCGGGCGAAGACGCACUGCCUUUCUCCAGCUCUAUCUCUGCGCUGAAGACGAAGAGGCAACACGGAAUUAAAGCCAAAAUCAGUGGAAGAGAGCGAUGGUUCCUCUUGCCCUGAUUUGUCAAAGAUCGGAUCUCAAGUUCAUUCCAACGCCACGUCACUUUCAGCAACUUCCGUUCUCCUGUUUUCCUUUUUUUGAAUUAUUCUUUUUUUCAUCUCCAGAAUUUGCUGAUUAGAUGGAGUAGAAAAGGGUAAUAAUACCUGAGCGACUCUCCCGUGUAAGUACUGCAGUGGGUAUGGUGUACGGCCCCGUUUAAAGAAAAACCUAACUCUGCAGAUAGGUCAUGCGAGCCUGGGUAUUCCGCUUUCCGAGGUAACAACCAUCGAAAGACGGGUCGCGGUUUGCUUCAAUAAUUAGCUGAGCUCUUAUCUUGGCCCGAUGGCGCGUGGGAGCUUCUCCACUUUCUUGAGAGGGAUUCUUGACACAGUUUCACCAUGGAAGUCAUUCCCUGCAUUCGACAAAGAGGAAGGUUUGGAAAGUCAGAGUAUAUUAUGAGGAUAUGCGCCUUGAUCAAAAUGGACGCGAUAUAUAUCGAGAUGAAAUACGGAGGUUCUCCUUCAUCAUCUUAUUUUCAAUCCGUCUUCGUGCAAAGCUCUGGCACCAUAUGGAGCUGCGCAAUUCUGGGGUAAGCACAAGAAAUGCCGUUAUAAAGCCUUUUCUGUUUGAGUCAUCAUAUCUGUCUUUCCCAAAUAUUGAAUAUGUUGUUGGAGUAACUAUAGCAUACUUGCGGUGUAGGAAAGAUUUUAUACAUAUAGCUUUAUGAAGAAUUAACUUGAGAAUGAAUAGUUAUAACCAUCAAACAAGAAUAAAUAAGUUCACUUAUACACAAUUUCUUUUACAUUAGGUAUGUACGCUCUAUUUUCCUUUUUGUUAGACUUCUUUGCUCCUCUAUCGAACCUCUACAUUAUCACCUAAUUUUAUGCGUUCGAAGAUUGAAACUAGAGGAUACUGGUAAGUAAAAGCAAGUUUUAAUUUGAUUCUGAUUUUCCUUUUGAUUGAUUAUACUUUGUUCUUCUCAUGUGUUGGGCUAGUUACUCAUGCUUUAG